UCUUCGUAGGUGAACCUGCGGAGGGAUCAUUACUGCGUGAGGCCUUCGGUCCGACCUCCAACCCUUUGUUAACCAAACUUGUUGCUUCGGGGGCGACCCUGCCGCUUCGGCGGUGCGGCGCCCCCGGAGGCCAUUAAACACUGCAUCAUUGCGUCGGAGUUAAAGUAAAUUAAACAAAACUUUCAACAACGGAUCUCUUGGUUCCAGCAUCGAUGAAGAACGCAGC
rnacentral:misc_RNA from 1 species